rnacentral:rRNA from 1 species
GUCUAGGGGGCUUAUCGGCUUACCGAAAUCAGCCAAACUCCGAAUGCUGGCAAGCGUAGCGUGGCAGUGAGACGGCGGGGGAUAAGCUUCGUCGUCGAGAGGGAAACAGCCCAGAUCAUCAGCUAAGGCCCCUAAGUGGUGACUCAGUGGGAAAGGAUGUGGAGUUGCGUAGACAACCAGGAGGUUGGCUUGGAAGCAGCCAUCCUUGAAAGAGUGCGUAAUAGCUCACUGGUCAAGUGAUUCCGCGCCGAUAAUGUAGCGGGGCUUAAGUUAUCCGCCGAAGCUGUGGCAACCUGUGUGGUUGGGUAGGGGAGCGUCGUGUCAGUGGUGAAGCUGCCGGGUGACUGUGUGGUGGAGUUGAUGCGAGUGAGAAUGCAGGCAUGAGUAGCGUGUGACGGGUGGGAAUCCCGUCCGCCGAUUAUCCAAGGGUUCCAGGGUCAAGUUUGUCUGCCCUGGGUGAGUCGGGUCCUAAGGCGAGGCCGACAGGCGUAGUCGAAUGGAUGAAGGAGUUCAUAUUCUCCUACCGGCUUGCGACCG